rnacentral:lncRNA from 1 species
GCACAUCGUCGAAUCCGGACCCAAUCAUAUCAUUGAUCCAUUCCAUGUAAUCUUUCAUAAUCAAAGUAGUUGUUUGCUUUAGUUCAGUGGAGUUGGUUAUGGAGUUGCUGGACAUCGGUACUAUUGGCGGAAGAUGAUGAAUCUCAGUCAAUGAACCAAAAUUACGGUGAAGAAAUUGAAGAAUUUUGUAUAAUUUAUGUUGUAU